rnacentral:tRNA from 1 species
GGGCGAUUAGCUCAGCUGGUCAGAGCGCCUGCUUUUCACUCGGAUGUCGGAGGUUCGAAUCCUUCAUCGCCCAC